rnacentral:rRNA from 1 species
GCACAAUGGGCGCAAGCCUGAUGCAGCAAGCCGUGUGAGUUGAAGAAGGUUUUCGGAUCGUAAAACUCUGUCCUAAGGGAAGAAACAAAUGACGGUACCUUAGGAGGAAGCCCCGGCUAACUACGUGCCAGCAGCCGCGGUAAUACGUAGGGGGCAAGCGUUAUCCGGAAUCACUGGGCGUAAAGGGUGCGUAGGCGGCUUAGCAAGCCAGGGGUGAAAGGCAUUGGCUCAACCAAUGUAAGCCUUUGGAACUGUUAAGCUUGAGUGCAGGAGAGGUAAGUGGAAUUCCUAGUGUAGAGGUGAAAUUCGUAGAUAUUAGGAGGAACACCAGUGGCGAAGGCGACUUACUGGACUGUAACUGACGCUGAUGCACGAAAGCGUGGGUAGCGAACAGGAUUAGAUACCCUGGUAG